UGGGGAAUAUUGCACAAUGGGCGCAAGCCUGAUGCAGCAACGCCGCGUGAGGGACGACGGCCUUCGGGUUGUAAACCUCUUUUAGCAGGGAAGAAGCGAAAGUGACGGUACCUGCAGAAAAAGCACCGGCUAACUACGUGCCAGCAGCCGCGGUAAUACGUAGGGUGCAAGCGUUAUCCGGAAUUAUUGGGCGUAAAGAGCUCGUAGGCGGUUUGUCGCGUCUGCUGUGAAAACUGGAGGCUCAACCUCCAGCCUGCAGUGGGUACGGGCAGACUAGAGUGCGGUAGGGGAGAUUGGAAUUCCUGGUGUAGCGGUGGAAUGCGCAGAUAUCAGGAGGAACACCAAUGGCGAAGGCAGAUCUCUGGGCCGUAACUGACGCUGAGGAGCGAAAGCAUGGGGAGCGAACA
rnacentral:rRNA from 1 species